rnacentral:rRNA from 1 species
UACGAAGGGGGCUAGCGUUGCUCGGAAUUACUGGGCGUAAAGGGCGCGUAGGCGGAUAGUUUAGUCAGAGGUAAAAGCCCAGGGCUCAACCUUGGAACUGCCUUUGAUACUGGCUAUCUUGAGUACGGGAGAGGUGUGUGGAACUCCGAGUGUAGAGGUGAAAUUCGUAGAUAUUCGGAAGAACACCAGUGGCGAAGGCGACACACUGGCCCGUUACUGACGCUGAGGCGGCGGAAAAGCCGU